rnacentral:lncRNA from 1 species
UUGCUUCUUCAUGGAUUUAACUUUCUUCCUUCCAGUAGACUUUCUCUUGGAGGAAGAGGUCCGCUCUAUGGUGAGAAUAGUAUCCCUUGAACUCUUCAAGAUACCCUCCGUAGUGAUCAACAUGUUGACGAGUUCAGGAAUAGUACAGUGAAGUUUGUUUAUGUGAAAAUUCACAAUGUAUUGACUAUUGAACUGGUAAGGGAUUGAAGAAUCAGAUCCA